rnacentral:rRNA from 1 species
UACGUAGGUGGCAAGCGUUGUCCGGAAUUAUUGGGCGUAAAGCGCAGGUAGGUGGUUUAGUAAGUCUUUUGUGAAAGCUCCUGGCUCAACUGGGAGAGGUCAAAGGAAACUACUAGGCUAGAGUUUGGUAGGGGAUACUGGAAUUCCUGGUGUAGCGGUGAAAUGCGUAGAUAUCGGGAGGAACACCGGUGGCGAAGGCGGUUCUCUGGGCCUUACCUGACGCUGAGGAGCGAAAGCGUGGGGAGCGAACAGG